UAUCAGAAUAUUUUGCAUUGCACGUCUCGUCUGUUUAAGAAUACCACUGUUAUCAGCUCUUAAAAUUGUUGUAAUGGUAAGUACUAGUAAUUAAAGAGUAGUUCACGUAAAAUGAGUAUUGUAAAUCACCUCUGAAAUAUGAUUUGAAGAAAAUACCAUGGCACUAAAAAUGGGACUGUAAGGGAAGAUUAAUUAAAGAUAUUAAUGAACUGAAAGAAGAAUAACUCCAUUUAUAUCGUUUGUAACGUUGUGAUUAAAUAAUUUUGUAUCUC
rnacentral:lncRNA from 1 species